GUGACAAUCGGUGCAUCUCCCCCAGAACAGCCGCGUGACAAUCAGUGCAUCUCCCACAGAAACGCCGCGUGACAAUCGGCUUAAUAAUGCUUCAGUGUGUGGUACUCCUCAAAACACGGGACAGCACACAAGGGAGUGUUGCAUGGCACACACAUGUGCUUGGUGAGGCGCCUCUGCUUGCCCUUGCGUGUGCUGGAGAGGCAGACCUUGCAGUGCCGCCUGGUCUUGCUGCCCUGGGAAGUGGUCUGAGGGACUUCAGAUGGGAAAUGCCUGGCUGUAAGGCGCAGAGGAGUGUCCAAGGCAGGACGCCCGCCUUUGGUUGGACCUUGCAAUGUGCUGUACUCCUCCAGCAGCCCUCUCAUUAGGUUCGUCCUGAAUUGUAGGGAGGUGAUUUCCUUUCCUACUCAUAGUAGAGCACAUCAAUAGGAAGUGAGGAGAAAAUAAUAGAAUGUGACCGUGUGGUCUGUUUAUUAUUGUGAAUUUGUUAACACUUUAAAUUGCAUUAAUUAAAAAUGUUAGCACUUUUUAUCUCGUUUAUAUUUAUUUGUAUCCAUUUCUCACCAGUAAUUUGCCGGUAGACGAUGUGGCUGUUGAGUAAAACCGUGUCGAGUACAUGAAAAAAUACUUUCUUGUACCACUUGGUAGACUUUCUGGUGCAUUCAUGAAAACCAGUCAUCAUAUCAGCUUUGUCAACUGCACCCAUCUUUUUGUUGUACUCCAGCACACAGACUGGCUUCAUCAUUGGUUGCCCAGUGAGGUGAUCCAGCUUGCCUGUGGCUGCCAUACCAGUUGGAUGGACUGUGGUGAACUUUGGCAUCCCUUUUCUGUGUCCGCGCACGGUCCCACAAGCUCCAGUGCCACGUGACAAGAGGUGCUGGAAAAGUGUGGGACUACUGUACCAGUUGUCAACAUAUAGAACAUGACAUUUGCUUAAGUAAGGUGCUAAGAGUGUCAUCACAACGGACCCAGAAAUCCCAAGUCCUGGGUAAUGUUGGAUGUCAGUGGAGGAUCCGGUGUAAAUGAUCAUGUCCUCCACAUAACCAGUUAGCACAUCACACAAAACAAAAAACUUGAUCCCAAAUCUUUGCC